rnacentral:rRNA from 1 species
GCACAAGCGGUGGAGCAUGUGGUUUAAUUCGACGCAACGCGAAGAACCUUACCAGGUCUUGACAUCCCGAUGCUAUUUCUAGAGAUAGAAAGUUACUUCGGUACAUCGGUGACAGGUGGUGCAUGGUUGUCGUCAGCUCGUGUCGUGAGAUGUUGGGUUAAGUCCCGCAACGAGCGCAACCCCUAUUGUUAGUUGCCAUCAUUCAGUUGGGCACUCUAGCGAGACUGCCGGUAAUAAACCGGAGGAAGUGGGGAUGACGUCAAAUCAUCAUGCCCCUUAUGACCUGGGCUACACACGUGCUACAAUGGUUGGUACAACGAGUUGCGAGUCGGUGACGGCGAGCUAAUCUCUUAAAGCCAAUCUCAGUUCGGAUUGUAGGCUGCAACUCGCCUACAUGAAGUCGGAAUCGCUAGUAAUCGCGGAUCAGCACGCCGCGGUGAAUACGUUCCCGGGCCUU